UACGUAGGAUGCAAGCGUUGUUCGGAAUUACUGGGCGUAAAGAGUACGUAGGCGGUUUGAUAAGUCUGCUAUUAAAGACCGGAGCUUAACUCCGGGACUGUAUUGGAAACUGUCAGACUAGAGGACAAUAGAGGAAGUCGGAAUUCUCAGUGUAGCGGUGAAAUGCGUAGAUAUUGGGAAGAACACCGGUGGCGAAGGCGGCUCACUGGCUCGUUUCUGACGCUCAGGCGCGACAGCGUGGGGAUCAAACAGG
rnacentral:rRNA from 1 species